rnacentral:rRNA from 1 species
AGCCAUCCUUGAAAUACCACCCUUUACCUAUUCGUGUGCUAACCCCGAUUCCCGUGAAGCCGGGCGGGGGACAGUGAGUGCUGGGUAGUUUGACUGGGGCGGUCUCCUCCCAAAGAGUAACGGAGGAGCACGAAGGUUAGCUAAUCACGGUCGGACAUCGUGAGGUUAGUGCAAUGGCAUAAGCUAGCUUAACUGCGAGACAGACACGUCGAGCAGGUACGAAAGUAGGUCAUAGUGAUCCGGUGGUUCUGUAUGGAAGGGCCAUCGCUCAACGGAU